ACGAACGCUGGCGGCGUGCUUAACCCAUGCCAGUCGAACGGAAAGGCCCCUUUGGGGGUCCUCGAGUGGCGAACGGGUGAGUAACACGUGAGUAACCUGCCCUUGACUUCGGGAUAACUUCAGGAAACUGGGGCUAAUACCGGAUAGGAAUCCUUGCUGCAUGGUGGGGGUUGGAAAGCUUCGGCGGUUUUGGAUGGACUCGCGGCUUAUCAGCUUGUUGGUGGGGUAGUGGCUUACCAAGGCUUUGACGGGUAGCCGGCCUGAGAGGGCGACCGGCCACAUUGGGACUGAGAUACGGCCCAGACUCCUACGGGGGGCAGCAGUGGGGAAUAUUGCACAAUGGGCGGAAGCCUGAUGCAGCAACGCCGCGUGCGGGAUGACGGCCUUCGGGUUGUAAACCGCUUUCAGCAGGGGCGAAGCUUGUGGUGACGGUACCUGCAGAAGAAGCACCGGCUAACUACGUG
rnacentral:rRNA from 1 species